rnacentral:rRNA from 1 species
UACGUAGGGGGCAAGCGUUAUCCGGAUUUACUGGGCGUAAAGGGAGCGUAGGCGGACUUUUAAGUGAGAUGUGAAAUACUCGGGCUCAACUUGAGUGCUGCAUUUCAAACUGGAAGUCUAGAGUGCAGGAGAGGAGAAUGGAAUUCCUAGUGUAGCGGUGAAAUGCGUAGAGAUUAGGAAGAACACCAGUGGCGAAGGCGAUUCUCUGGACUGUAACUGACGCUGAGGCUCGAAAGCGUGGGGAGCAAACAGG